GCUGAGUGUGAUAAAAUACCAAACCUGAUGAGUGUGAUCCUGGGCGGCCUGACUGUUUUCCUCAUAAUGGUCAUCAUCUGUCUGGUUGUUAAAAACAGGAACGUUCAGAAAGCUGCCAGUGAAGAACAGAAUCCACAACAGAAUGCGAACCUGGGCUCUGAUGACCUGAACUACGCAGCAGUGAAUUUCAGUGCAAAAGCAAGAAGAAGAGAAGUGGAGCCCAAUGUUGUGUAUUCUGCUACUAGAUAGACUGAGGAAUCAAGAAAUGCUGUUCAGGAUGUAACUGAUGCUUUGUCAUAUUAAUCUGCAGUUGUGCUUUUGUGUGGGUGGUGGACUAAAAAAAAUGUUCAACCUUUAACAUUUUGCUAAGUUUUAAUGCUUAUCUCAAUUUUAAAGACGUAAUCAGAGUACAUCCAUACAGACAGUAUUCUGAAAGUUAAGUAUAAGUUAAUAUACUGUGUGUCUUUACUGGUAUAGGGAAGAAAAAUAGAUUUAAAAAAUGGA